UGAGAAGAUCAUGCUCAAGCUAGUCUGCUGGUCACAGAAGGAGGGUAAGGGUCAGGUGGAGAGGAGGCCUAGACCCCUAGCCAAGCACGGUCUAGAUUAGACAACAGACCCGACUUCACCCUUAUCCAACCCAGACAAGUGCUUGGAGAAAGUGUCCUCUGCACCCCCAGGAUUUUUGGAACUGCUGCUACCAUCUUGGAACCAUGAGGGAAGCCAACAAGAGGACAAAACAAUACUCUGAGUUAGACAUAUGGAGAAGCCAUCCCAUAGCAAGCCCUUGGAGCUGCCCUAACUUGGAGCUACUUGUUACAUCUCUUUGCUAUUUAGACCACGUUUCCUUGCAGUUUCUGUGCCUUACAGCACAAUUCUUCCUAAAUGAUUCAGAUACUUCCUCAGAAGAGGAAAAUCCAAGUGAAGGAGAAGGAUGUGUUGAUUAUCUUUUCUUUCUUUUGGUUUUACCAAGUGAUUCGUCACUGGCGCAAAGACUCUAACAAAAUCUUUAAAGAUGGGGUUAAAAAUGGCUGUUCCAAUGGAUGCCUCUUAGAUUUGAUUUUGAGGGUUUUCACCAUGGCUACAAUCUAUUAUGAGAUGACUUCUGGCCUCACCACUGUGACUCUGUGACACUUUGCCCAGUCAUAUGAGGACCCCUUGAGGACAACUUCAGAACCUUGGGCAGAUUGGCAAACACAGGAAGUAUUCCAACAAGCGUGGAGUUCCUUGGUGAUGGUCCCUCCAUCCAAGGAGAGACUCCUGGGUCUAUGACCCUUGAGACGCUUGACCUGGCGAAGGUGAAGUUGACCCUUUUUAAAUCGUGGCAGCUAAAUUAUAAAAAGCAAGUUCAAUCCACAAGAAUGAUCCUUCUCCAGCACGUGAGCAUAUGAUACAUUUGCUCAGUAUGAUACAUUUCACCUCAGUAAGUAGCAUCUUCAGAAAACACAUUAAAACGGUCAUUAGACUUUAUCGAAACUUGCUGAUAAUUUAGGUAACUUGACUACCUCCCCCUCCUCCCAUGCUGUGCUCAGCAGAAACCAGCUCUUGCCAAAUUAUCAUUCAUUUUAUUAAAACAACACUUCAGGUGGCUCUCUGGACUUGCCAGACUUUCUCCCAGCCCUGGACCACUGCCCUUGCUCUUGCUUUCCCCCUGGAAUAUCUGUCUCCCAUCACGGCAAAAUGGCAAAGUGCCUGGCAAACUCCUCACCAUCUGGCAAUGCAAAAUUCUGAUGUCGGUUCCUCUCCAAAGCAUCACCUGGACCCCUGAGACAACGCAGCAUGAAGGGUGGUUGAAGUCGGGCCCACCUGAUUUGAGAUCCAGCUCUGUCCCCAGUUAGUGAGGUGACCUCAGCAGAGAAACCCAGCUUUUCUGAGCCAGGCCUCAGCUCCUUGUCCUGUAAAGUAGCACCACAAUUGCCCCUGCUUGGAGCUCGUGUG